ensembl:lncRNA
CGACGGCUUCCGGUUGUUGUGGCGACGGCUUCCGGUUGUUAUGGAGACGGCCUCUUGUUUACAGGCCCUUAGGAGGGCGACAGGUGGAUGGUCAUCUUCCUUCAUUUUAAAAACAAUUUUAAAAAAUAAAAUAAAAUAAAAAAAAUACCAAAAAAACUAUUAAAAUUAAAUAAAAUCGCUAGAAAAAAAAUAUAAAAAUAAAUAAAUAAAUGUUAAAAAAUGAAAAAAAUCUAUACCACAACUCUAUAGAGGACGAAGACGAUGCUGAAACUCUGGGAACCAUGUUCUGAUCUGGAGUGGGGUCGGUCAGUGUCCUGACUGUAGAUCUGGUGUAGGUCGGUCAGUGUCCUGACUAGAUCUGGUGUGGGGUCGGUCAGUGUCCUGACUGUAGAUCUGGUGUGGGGUCGGUCAGUGUCCUGACUAGAUCUGGUGUGGGGUCGGUCAGUGUCCUGACUAGAUCUGGUGUAGGUCGGUCAGUGUCCUGACUGUAGAUCUGGUGUGGGGUCGGUCAGUGUCCUGACUAGAUCUGGUGUAGGUCGGUCAGUGUCCUGACUGUAGAUCUGGUGUGGGGUCGGUCAGUGUCCUGACUGUAGAUCUGGUGUAGGUCGGUCAGUGUCCUGACUAGAUCUGGUGUGGGGUCGGUCAGUGUCCUGACUGUAGAUCUGGUGUGGGGUCGGUCAGUGUCCUGACUGUAGAUCUGGUGUGGGGUCGGUCAGUGUCCUGACUAGAUCUGGUGUGGGGUCGGUCAUGUCCUGACCCGUAGAUCUGGUGUGGGGUCGGUCAGUGUCCUGACCCGUGGUUCUGGUGUGGUUCUGGUUAGACCUGAAAUGGAGCCAGUGUCUCCCCAGAUUCUCUCCUUGUCGGAUGCAUCCAUCUUCUAGCACUGAAACGACUUCUGGUUGUGUGAGUUAGUUUGUACCUGCUUGGAAGAGCUCAGCGGUUUCACCCCCCCCCAAAAAUGCUGUCUUACGAAAAGGUAGAGAAAUCGGCGUGCUUCCUCCUCCUCCUCGCCACUGUCCUCCCAGUGUGUGUGUGUGUGUGUGUGUGUGUGUGUGUGUGUGUGUGUGUGUGUGUGUGUGUGUGUGUGACGUCAGUGGGACUGAACCAUAAAGCUGAUCCCUGUAUCUAUGCAUAUUGUAGCCAAUCACAAGGACUACAGACACGGGGAGGAGGGGCUUAAUUCUGUCUGUGUCACAACGUCAAAAUGUUUUAAAAUUAAUAAUGUGAUGAUGAUCUCUCU